AACGAACGCUGGCGGCAUGCCUAACACAUGCAAGUCGAACGAGACCUUCGGGUCUAGUGGCGCACGGGUGCGUCACGCGGGGGAACCUGCCCUUAGGUUCGGAAUACCUCCCCGAAAGGGGUGCUAAUACCGGAUAAUGUCUUCUGACCAAAGAUUUAUCGCCCUUGGAUGGGCCCGCGUUGGAUUAGCUAGUUGGUAGGGUAAAAGCCUACCACGGCGACGCUACAUAGCUGGUCAGAGAGGCUGAUCAGCCACACUGGGACGGAGACACGGCCGAGACUCCUACGGGAGGCAGCAGUGGGGAAUAUUGGACAAUGGGCGAAGGCCUGAUCGAGCAAUGCCGCGUGAGUGAUGAAGUCCUUAGGGUUGUAAAGCUCUUUUACCCGGGAUGAUAAUGACAGUACCGGGAGAAUAAGCUCCGGCUAACUCCGUG
rnacentral:rRNA from 1 species